rnacentral:rRNA from 1 species
AAAUUGAAGAGUUUGAUCAUGGCUCAGAUUGAACGCUGGCGGCAGGCCUAACACAUGCAAGUCGAACGGUAACAGGAAGCAGCUUGCUGCUUUGCUGACAAGUGGCGGACGGGUGAGUAAUGUCUGGGAAACUGCCUGAUGGAGGGGGAUAACUACUGGAAACGGUAGCUAAUACCGCAUAACGUCGCAAGACCAAAGAGGGGGACCUUCGGGCCUCUUGCCAUUGGAUGUGCCCAGAUGGGAUUAGCUAGUAGGUGGGGUAACGGCUCACCUAGGCGACGAUCCCUAGCUGGUCUGAGAGGAUGACCAGCCACACUGGAACUGAGACACGGUCCAGACUCCUACGGGAG